UACUCUCGCCACGUGACGCUGCAGCCUUAGGCCACAGUUCACACAGUGAGAAUAAAAACACUGAAAAUAGACGAGGGACAGACACAGUUCUUCCUGCGUGAGCUGCAGUCUAUCCAACACACUCUGCUAGAAGUACCUAGCCUUAACCCUUUACUGCACCUUGUUGCAUAUUCGCAACAUAGCGAUAAACGACGAUAAAAACAUCUACAAAAUGCAUUCAGUGCUAGUUCCGCACGUUGUUGCAUUUCUGCAACAUACAUCCGCGAGGCGAGCCGUCCAGUGCUGCCAUCUGUACUCAGGCGGCGAAACUGCUCUCUAAAAAGCGUGACAGCCACCACGUGGACGCUCAACAAGUGACACAGAGCAGACACAAUGGACCCCAAACGGUUUUACAGCCGUGGAAUUCCUUCCGACAGUGAGGACAGCGAGCUCUCCGGCAGUGACGAUGACUCUGAUUAUGUCCAACCCCCUGCAAAAUGUAGUGCCAGUUCAAGCGAGGCGAGUACAAGCUCUGACGAAGAGGAAGCUCCCGCAAGCCAACCAGCUGAUCAGUCAUCAACUCAAUCUAAGAGAAGAAUUAUCUGGAAGAAUGCAAGCCUGAUGCGGGAUCCUGAAACAGUGAAGUUCACUGGACAAAAUGAGCUUCCGCAGGAAGUUUCAGAGUUGGAAACACCUUUCCAAUACUUCAAGUUCAU